UACGUAGGGGGCGAGCGUUGUCCGGAAUUAUUGGGCGUAAAGAGCUCGUAGGCGGUUUGUCGCGUCGAAUGUGAAAACCCGGGGCUCAACCCCGGGCCUGCAUUCGAUACGGGCAGACUAGAGUUCGGUAGGGGAGUCUGGAAUUCCUGGUGUAGCGGUGAAAUGCGCAGAUAUCAGGAGGAACACCGAUGGCGAAGGCAGUUCUCUGGGCCGUAACUGACGCUGAGGAGCGAAAGCGUGGGGAGCGAACAGG
rnacentral:rRNA from 1 species